CUAACCUAUUUAACCUAAACCUAAUCAGAAGUCACAAGGCCUCUCAAACUCAGUCCCUGCACGACGUGCAAGACUCUUGAUCUUUCAAAUUCCAGACUUCCAGCCUUAAAGGUCGAAGCCUCUUAUUCUAAAUGGGUUCUUCACUCUUCAAGAUUUCAAUUGGCCCUAAAUCUUCGCUCUUCGACUUCCACCGUCGGCAUGUCGGUACAGUUGAUUUCUCUCCAAAUCAAUCUGUCCGAGUCUUUCAAUCUCAGACUCUCAGGUAACGGAAUCUGAUCUUGAUGUGGAUUUUUAUUUUUUUUAUUUUAUAUUUGAAUAUAAGCGUUGAUUAUUGUAUAUAAAUUUUGUUGGGUACUUUUGUUUUGACUACUGCCUACUGGGUUAGUGGGUUCGAAUCGCUUGUUCUGUUUGCGUAGAAAUAAAAUUGAGUGUAUCUGUGUAUGAUUUUUGCUUGGUUAUUAAAUAAAAUUUGUAUUGUCAAUAGAAUUAAAGAAUCCUAAUGGGAAUUAUGUAUUCAGUAUUUGUUCUUGAAUCAUAAUAAUAAUUAUUUGAAUA